UCCCUGGUGGCUCAGAGAUUAAAGUGUCUGCCUGGAAUGUAGGAGACCAGGGUUCGAUCCCUGGGUCGGGGAG
rfam:Ovis aries breed Texel chromosome 15, whole genome shotgun sequence.